CGUGAAGCCCCCCUCAAGAUGAGAUUUCCCAUUUCUUCGGAAAGUAAGAUCCCUGAAAGAUGAUCAGGUAGAUAGGUUUGGAGUGGAAGUGUAGCGAUACAUGGAGCGGACAAAUACUAAUCGAUCGAGGACUUAACCAAAA
rnacentral:rRNA from 1 species